AGCUUGUGGUGAAAAAAUAGAAGAAAUGAUGUUGGGCCAUCGGAUGAGAGAUUGAUGGCACAGGUCCGAAUGGUGGGAUCUUUACAAAAAAUUUGCAAAAAGGUCCAACGCUACAAGCAAAUUUGCUUUCGCUGCCCUCCCACGUCUGUACCAAAUCCUUAUAGAGCGAAGGCACGGGAUCGAAGAUUUCUUGGCUACGGCUGCGGCGGCGGCGGCUGCAGCGGCGGCGCAGAUCCUGAGCCAAGCUGGGCGGGCACGCGCAGCAAAGAAGCUGAUCCAUCUCCUCCUCGAUGGCUCCUAGCCGUUUCUUCGCUGGUGGCGUGGUUUGAGGCAGAUUGGAUCGGAUUCCUCACCUCCUCCCACUCUCAGGCUCCCAGAUCAGCUCUCCGCCGUCCUCCUCCGCCCACCCCCUGUCACCUCCUCUCGCGAUUCAGCACUAGCUCAGCGGUCGUGGAUCCUCGCCUCCUUCCCGACCGGCCGCUUCUUGUUCUACGAAUAGGCCACCACGGUUCUUCAUUCUUCAGAAGUUUGACAUGGAAAAGAUGAUCCCCGGUCUAAAUUUGCAAUUCUCACACAGGAUCCAGUAAUGGAGGGUAGAAGUGCGAUGUCUCCUCUAGGAGAGCCCUCAAUUCCAAUGAUCGCAGCAUGUGCACCAGCACUAUCAGUUUGCAGCCAUGGAAUCGGUUAACAAUGUUCAAAAUCAAGAUUUCAGUGAUGCAACGUCAUUCGCAGAAAUUAAUUCUCCAAUGCUUCUCAUUAAUGACUCCAGUACACCGAAAAAAAGAAUCAUUCUCUCAAGAGGGUUCUUUGUAUAAACCCCAGUGUGACGAGGAAUUGAAGCCAAAAGUAGGGAUGAUAUUUGAUGACAUUGCCUCAGUGCUAGAAUUUUACAGGACAUAUGCACACAAUGUCGGAUUUGGUGUGCGUCUUGGACAACAGAGGGUCGUAGAUAAUGUGCUUCAAUGGAAAUGCUUCCUGUGUGCAAAAGAAGGCUUCCGUCCCGAGAAAGGUAUGGUUGUUGUUGAGGCUUCAAAGAAAAGGAGAAAGGUUAAAUUGACUAGAUGUGGAUGUGAAGCUUAUAUAUAUGUCACUCGAGAAAGGAAUGGAAAAUACAAGAUAGCUUCACUCACUGAAUAUCACAAUCACCCUUUUGUGCCACCGAGCCAGCAACACUUGAUUAGAUCCAAUCGUCAAAUUAGUGAGAGAGUGAAGACAACACUUCACGAUUGUCAGAAAGCUAGCAUUGGCACUGCCUUAGCAUAUAGGCUACUUAAUGUUAGUGUUGGUGGUUUUCAGCAUGUUGGGUGCACCCAGAAAGACCUACAGAAUCAGUAUGGUGGACUGAAAAUAAAAUAAGAAAUUGUGAUGCUCAAAUGUUGGUGGACCAAUUUGGUAGAUUGAAGGCUCUGAACCCUGCAUUUUUCUUUGAAUAUGAAGUUGACGAGGUCGGUACAUUGAUUCGUUUAUUCUGGACGGAUGCAUCAAGUAGGGAAAACUAUGGGCAUUUCAGCGAUGUUGUAUCUUUUGAUUCGACAUACAGCACUAACCAAUAUGAAUACACCUUUGCGCCCUUCACUAGAGUAAACCAUCACAUGCAAAGUGUCUUUUUUGGGGCGGGGUUUCUACUUCAUGAGACAGAAGAAUCCUAUAUUUGGUUGUUCAGGUCAUUUCUUAGAGCAAUGGGUGGGAUUGCGCCUAGAGUGAUCAUAACUGAUGAAUGUGUUAGGAUGAAAAAUGCAACCAGAAAAACUCUACCGAACACGACACAUAGAUUGUGCAUGUGGCACAUUAUGGAAAAGGUUCCAGGGAAGGUACGCCUGGAAUUGAGGAAUGACCUUGUGUUCUAUGAUAGGCUGAAACAUUGCGUGUGGAAUUCUGAAACACCUGCUGAAUUUGAGGAUAGAUGGCAAUCUUUCAUCAUAGAGUUUCAGUUGGAGGACUACGAGUGGUUUGCCAAAAGGUAUAAGCUUCGUGCGACAUGGAUACCAGCUUACUUUAUGGACAUUCACCUAGCUAGUCUACUCAGGACAACUUCUAUUUCAGAGAGUGCAAAUUCAUUUUUAAACGUUUCAUUCGUCACAAGCUUACCUUUGUUGAGUUUUGGCUAAGGCUUGACACUGCUUUGAAAUGUCAAAGUCAAAGUGAGCUGAUUGCGGAUAACACAAGUGAAUACACAACAAAGUGAGUUGUUGACAUCAUGGGAAAUAGAGAGACAAGGCAGGGUGCUAUUCACCCAUGAGGUUUUUGAAUUGUUUCAGGCUCAGGUGCUUGCUGCCAGAGAUGAUUGUGAUGUUCAGCAGACAGAAAAUCAUGAGGGGAUUAAAAUCAUGUUUGCCAGCGAUCAAUACAAGAAGAUUAGAGAAGUGUGUUAUGACACAACAUCCAUGACCGCUAAAUGUUCUUGCAAGCUUUUUGAGUCCAAGGGAAUUGUGUGCCGUCACAUUAUUAGGGUAUUUAGGGGUGCGAAAAUAAAUGAAUUGCCAAGCCUUUGUAUUCUUAAGCGAUGGAAGAAAAAUUGCAAAAGGGACAUUGUCUAUGAUGGGGAAGGGAAUGUGCUUGAAGAAAAUUUAAUAGAUCUGGUUGACAUUGCUGUGAAAAGGAAGAUAGUUGCUAUGAGGGACAAGCUAGAAGAUCUCAUAGGAGAAUCCAAACACUCCAUGGAAGGAAUUGAAUUCCUACACAAUAGUUUGUGUGGCAUUGAGUUGGGUUUAGCCCAACUAGUUUCGACCGUACCAUGCAAUACACAAGAAAAUGAGGAGUUGUGUAUUGGGAGUGUCAUUCCAAAGGAUGUUACAAUCCUACACCUAAGGAUAUCAAUGCAAGGGGCACAUGCUCUAGAAUAAAGGGCCAUAGGGAUGGUGCGAGGAGUGGAUCCAGUGAGAAGAGAAGGCCUGGAAUUCAUCAAGAAGUCGCGCGCAAAUGCAGCAUUUAUAAGGAAAUGGCGUUUCAUGAUGCAAGAACAUGUUCUAAAAAACAAAAAACAAAACAGUAGAGGUAGGUCGAACUGAUCAAGUCUAUAAGAGUCCAAUCUCUCCCAGCAGGAAGCUCGAUUACCAGGAAGCACUAACACGAGGCAGAAUGAUAGAUAUUUUCGGUCUUGUACCAGCAAGACGCUUGUUGGGCGAUGAUAAUUUCAGUCUUUACCACUUGGUCUUGCCGGCCAUAUACUAAAAAUGAUAUGUAUGUUUCAUGUACUCAAGUACUUAAAUGCUUGCUGAGCACUGAUAAAUUCAGUCCUUAAUUUGUUCUACUUCCAGUUUGACAUGUACGUGUGGUUCUACUUGCCUCUUGUGAUGUGUUCUCAUGUACUCAAGUACUGAAAUGCUUGCUGAAUAGUGAUAAUUUCAAUCCUUAAAUUGCUAUA